AGCUUUGUGCAGUGGCAGUAUCGUAGCCAAUGAGGUUUAUCCGAGGUGCGAUUAUUGCUAAUUGAAGUUUGAUAGUGUGUGUGUGUGUGUUUGGGAAUUUGUCCAUAUCUUCUAGGU
rnacentral:snRNA from 1 species